AGAAAGUGAGGAAACAAUAUACAGUGGUGAAAGAUGUAGCAUCGGUUUACACUUAAUGGUUAUAACACUACUCAAAGUACACGUAAGAACUGGCAACAACGAACGAAAUAAUAUCAUAAAAUAAGAAUUCCUUUAACGUGCUAAAUGUAUGUCUAAAUGCAGUACAAGUUUGCAGGGACCUAGGUUUGUGUCCUGUUUGCAGAUAUUUUACUCUGCAGUGAAUUUUCAGAAUGUGCUGAAUACGAGGUUGUUGCUGUGGUUUGCAGCCUGUGUGAGAUUGCAGAAGCCCUGCGGCAGUGUAAUGUUUGUCAUUCUGAACUUUGAAAGUGUGCAUUCUGUCUCAUAAAUGAAAUUCUUGGCCACACGAGGCUCGCUCUUACAUAGCUGCAGUCCUUUUGCCUAAUGAAUUAUACUGAAGAGGAAAUUCUCAGCAGUGUUGAAGUUCGGGACGUGAUGAAUGAUAUUUCGGCUACAGUUUCCAGAUGUUGUGGCUUUGUAAUUCAACUUACAAUGUUAAUAGUUUAUUUGAAUCUAUGCAGUAAAUGAUGUUUUGUUAUUUGCCAUUGAAACUUACACAUGAAUAUAAACAUUUUUGAUAAAAUGCUACAUAUUUGCCCAUUUUUAAGUUCUUCCAAAACAUGUAAAAAAAACUAAUGCAGUUAGAACUCCAUUCUUCACUGUCUGCAUCCUUCAGAGUAAGAUGCAAAACAUUCAGAAACAGUUCCUUUACAAUUUUACAUCCACCUAAGCUGUCAGCAAAUUACUGUAGUUGAGGUAACAUGCUUUUUUCUAUGGCACCAUCUUCUGGUCUUCUCAGGAAUGGAACGGAAAUGGGUGGAAGUCCUGGAAACAAAACUAAAAUGUUAAGGGGAUCAUUCUUUAGAAGGAAUUGUUACUGAUGGUGUUGAAGGUUAAAAGGGGCAAGGGUCACGCCAGUCGUAAGUAGCAAAGUGCUUAUGCUGAGAGGCAGAGGCAGACAAUUGGUGGGUCAAAUAACUGCAAAGAAACUGCAGCUGACACUCAAGAGCAUGUGAGUUAAUACAUGACAUGAAUGCACAGUGAACACUUGUCAUACAUAAUAAUGCUCGUUGAAACAAACAGAGCUUGCUGACACAAUACACACCAUAUACUUAUUAAAGAGGGCAAUAUGUCUAGUAAUCUUUGUUCCUGACUACUCACUUUCUGGUCAGAAUUACCAUUCUGUCAGCAGAUGACUUUGUAUUUUUCUUUUUAGAAGCUUUAAGUGAACAGGUAUGUUUUAUAUUAAUAUUGGUGUAUAGUAAAUAUGUCUCUCUGUAUUCAUUUUAAAUUUACUUAAGUGUUACAAUUUUAUGUUUCUUAAAUGGCCUGGAUGCAAGAACUUGAUAUGACAAUGACAUGUACACUUUGUUCCCUCUGGAAAGAUCUGAAGACUUUCUGGUCAUUAGAUACUGAAAUGCAGUAAAAUCUAUGACCGAUAUGCUGAUGGUAAUAAGGAAUGAACAUUGCAAAUGGUGUCAUAAUGCCGCAUUGUGUGUGUUCUUUUAUCAUAAUUAAAUGAAUAAAGUUUUGAUGAAAUUACAGUAAUUCCAUUACUGUCUACAGUCUCUUACAGCUAAGAGUUCUAACUAUGUGCUGCUGCUUCUCCAACUUUAAUUUGGCCUUUGCAAUUGUUCCUUCCUUGAUAGCCUUAAGUGCGUCUUCAUACUGGCAACAAAGAGUUUGUCUUGAUGCCAAGUUUUGCUUAGUCCAGAUGCCUUCAUGUGUCAGGCGAUGAAAGUAAUUAUGUGUCAUGACAAUAAUAUGAAGAAUAAGUGCAGAUUAAUUUCCUGACACCUCCUGCAAUAGAUAAUAUAUGGUUGGGUGAUUCUUAA